UACGGAGGGUGCAAGCGUUGUUCGGAAUCAUUGGGCGUAAAGCGCGUGUAGGCGGCUUGGCAAGUCGGGUGUGAAAUCCCGGGGCCCAACCCCGGAACUGCAUUCGAAACUGCCUCGCUAGAGUCCCGGAGAGGAAGGCGGAAUUCCCGGUGUAGAGGUGAAAUUCGUAGAUAUCGGGAGGAACACCAGCGGCGAAGGCGUCCUUCUGGACGGUGACUGACGCUCAGUCGCGAAAGCGUGGAGAGCAAACAGG
rnacentral:rRNA from 1 species